CCUACGGGUGACAGCAGUGAGGAAUAUUGGUCAAUGGGCGGGAGCCUGAACCAGCCAAGUCGCGUGAGGGAAGACGGUCCUACGGAUUGUAAACCUCUUUUGCCGGGGAGCAACGGGGUCUUUGCGAGGGACCAAUGAGAGUACCCGGAGAAAAAGCAUCGGCUAACUCCGGGCCAGCAGCCGCGGUAAUACGGAGGACGCGAGCGUUAUCCGGAUUUAUUGGGUUUAAAGGGUGCGUAGGCGGACUGUUAGGUCAGCGGUAAAAUGUCGGGGCUCAACCCCGGCCUGCCGUUGAAACUGGCGGCCUCGAGUGGGCGAGAAGUAGGCGGAAGGCGUGGUGUAGCGGUGAAAUGCAUAGAUAUCACGCAGAACUCCGAUUGCGAAGGCAGCAUGCCGGCGCCCUACUGACGCUGAGGCACGAAAGCGUGGGUAUCGAACAGGAUUAGAUACCCGGGUAGUC
rnacentral:rRNA from 1 species